CAGCUCAGUUGGUUGGAGCAUGGUGCUGAAAACGCCAAGGUUGCAGGUUCGAUCCCUGCACGG
rnacentral:tRNA from 1 species